UACAGAGGGUGCAAGCGUUAAUCGGAAUUACUGGGCGUAAAGCGUGCGUAGUCGGUUAUCUAAGUCGGAUGUGAAAUCCCCGGGCUCAACCUGGGAAUUGCAUUCGAAACUGGAUAGCUAGAGUUCGGCAGAGGGAAGCGGAAUUUCGGGUGUAGCGGUGAAAUGCGUAGAUAUCCGAAGGAACAUCAGUGGCGAAAGCGGCUUCCUGGACCAGAACUGACGAUCAGGCACGAAAGCGUGGGGAGCAAACAGG
rnacentral:rRNA from 1 species